AGGGUUGUUGUUGAGUAACCUUCCCAUUCCCUUUUAAUCUUUCUGUUUCCUCGUCAACCGUCGCAAUUUUCCCCAUUUUCUUUCUUUAUUCCUUUUGUUCUGAUUUUGAUCUCGUCCUCAUGGCCACCACCAGAAACAAAAACAUCAAUGCCAAAUUGCAACUGAAGAUCUGAAACUCUCUUUUGAUCUGAAUCUGAAGAUUGAAAAUUCAAAUUCAAUUUCGUUCAAAUGUUGAAUGCGAAUCCGUUGCGAUUCUAGGUAAAGCUGUUGUUGUGCGCGUUUGAAGAUGGCGGAUGUUGUGGCAAACCAAGUGGGUGGUUCUUUUGGUGAUGCAAACGAUGCCCAGACAAAUGUGUUUGAUUUAGGCGCAUUUGUGGGGGACUUGAAUUUUGAGGAAGAUGCAAGUGGUGAUGAUAUAUCACUAGAAGGACUUGAGAAGGAGCUCGAAGAAUGUAAAAACUAUGACGU